rnacentral:rRNA from 1 species
GACGAACGCUGGCGGCGCGCUUAACACAUGCAAGUCGAACGGAAAGGCCUGCUUUCCCUUGUGGUGUGCGGGUACGCGAGUGGCGAACGGGUGAGUAACACGUGAGUGAUCUGCACUCAACUUGGGUAUAAGCCUGGGAAACUGGGUCGAAUACUCGAUAGGACUGCAGGGUGGUGCCUGUGGUGGAGAACGAUUUUCUAGUGGUUGGGGCUGCGCUCGCGGCCUAUCAGCUUGUUGGUGGGGUAAUGGCCUACCACGGCGGCGACGGGUAGCCGGCCUGAGAGCGUCGACGGUCGCACUGGGACUGGGUCACGGCCCAUACUCCUACGGGCAGCAGCGGUUGGGCCGAUUGCACAGUGGGCGGAAGCCUGCUGCAGCGACGCCGCGUUGGGGAUGACGGCCUUCUGGUUGUAAGCUCCUUUCGACCGCGAGGAGUCCACCUGGUUGGGAGGGUGGUGACGGUAGUUGUAGAAGAAGCCCCGGCUAACUACGUG